rnacentral:rRNA from 1 species
UACGUAGGGGGCAAGCGUUGUCCGGAUUUAUUGGGCGUAAAGCGCUCGCAGGUGGUCCGAUGCGUCGUGCGUGAAAGACCCCGGCUCAACUGGGGGGUGUCGUGCGAUACGGUCGGACUGGAGGCCAGUAGGGGGAUGCGGAAUUCCGGGUGUAGUGGUGGAAUGCGUAGAGAUCCGGAGGAACACCAGCGGCGAAGGCGGCAUCCUGGACCAUUACUGACGCUGAUGCGCGAAAGCUAGGGGAGCAAACGGG